rnacentral:SRP_RNA from 1 species
GCCAGGUGUGGUGGUGCAUACCUAUGGUCCCAGCUAUUCAAGAGGCUGAGGUGGGAGGAUCACUUGAGCCUGGGAAGUCUGAGGCUGCAGUGAGCCACAGUUUCGCCACUGCACUCCAGCCUGGGCAACAGAGUGAGACCCCGUCUCAA